CUUUUUUUUUUUUUUUUUUUUUAAAUUUCAUUCGUUUGUUUUUUACUUGAAUGCGCCGG
rnacentral:ribozyme from 13 species